CCACGCCGUAAAUGGUGAGUGCUAGGUGUCGGGAGUCAAAUCUCGGUGCCGACGUUAACACAUUAAGCACUCCGCCUGGGGAGUACGCACGCAAGUGUGAAACUCAAAGGAAUUGACGGGGACCCGCACAAGCAGCGGAGCAUGUGGUUUAAUUCGAAGCAACGCGAAGAACCUUACCAGGACUUGACAUACUAGUGCCAGGUAUAGAGAUAUACCCUUAUCUUAGAUACACUAAUACAGGUGGUGCAUGGUUGU
rnacentral:rRNA from 1 species